rnacentral:rRNA from 1 species
UGGCGGACUGGUGAGUAACGCGUGAGGAACCUGCCUUUCAGAGGGGGACAACAGUUGGAAACGACUGCUAAUACCGCAUGACGCAUUUUGAUCGCAUGGUCGAAAUGCCAAAGAUUUAUCGCUGAAAGAUGGCCUCGCGUCUGAUUAGCUAGUUGGUGAGGUAACGGCCCACCAAGGCGACGAUCAGUAGCCGGACUGAGAGGUUGACCGGCCACAUUGGGACUGAGAUACGGCCCAGACUCCUACGGGAGGCAGCAGUGGGGAAUAUUGGGCAAUGGGCGCAAGCCUGACCCAGCAACGCCGCGUGAAGGAAGAAGGCUUUCGGGUUGUAAACUUCUUUUAAGUGGGAAGAGUAGAAGACGGUACCACUUGAAUAAGCCACGG